GCCAUAGUCGUCUAGUGGUAAGGACAUCAGUUUGUGGGAGCAGCAAAGCACUGGAAACCGAGGUUCGAUUCCUCGCUGUGGCA